rnacentral:rRNA from 1 species
CGGGGUGAGUAAUGUCUGGGAAACUGCCUGAUGGAGGGGGGUAACUACUGGAAACGGUAGCUAAUACCGCAUAACGUCUUCGGACCAAAGUGGGGGACCUUCGGGCCUCACGCCAUCGGAUGUGCCCAGAUGGGAUUAGCUAGUAGGUGGGGUAAUGGCUCACCUAGGCGACGAUCCCUAGCUGGUCUGAGAGGAUGACCAGCCACACUGGAACUGAGACACGGUCCAG